UACGAAGGGGGCUAGCGUUGUUCGGAAUUACUGGGCGUAAAGCGCAUGUAGGCGGACAUUUAAGUCAGGGGUGAAAUCCCGAGGCUCAACCUCGGAACUGCCUUUGAUACUGGGUGUCUUGAGUGUGAGAGAGGUGAGUGGAACUCCGAGUGUAGAGGUGAAAUUCGUAGAUAUUCGGAGGAACACCAGUGGCGAAGGCGGCUCACUGGUCCAUUACUGACGCUGAGGUGCGAAAGCGUGGGGAGCAAACAGG
rnacentral:rRNA from 1 species